rnacentral:piRNA from 1 species
UAAAUAAACCCACUGGUGACUCUGAAGCUC